rnacentral:rRNA from 1 species
GACAGAGGGUGCAAACGUUGUUCGGAAUUACUGGGCGUAAAGAGCUCGUAGGCUGUUCGAUAAGUCGGGUGUGAAACCUCCAGGCUCAACCUGGAGACGCCACCCGAUACUGUCAUGACUAGAGUCCGGUAGGGGAGCGUGGAAUUCCUGGUGUAGCGGUGAAAUGCGCAGAUAUCAGGAGGAACACCAGCGGCGAAGGCGGCGCUCUGGGCCGGUACUGACGCUGAGGAGCGAAAGCCAGGGGAGCAAACGGG